CACAUUUGGACCUGACCUUCACCACUGGUCAUGUGAGAAAGCCUCUAUACCUGGUUCCUCAACGUCUCCGUUUAGAAGACUGCAUCAGCAAAACCAUCCUACCAUGGGAAUUAACUGAUGGAUGUGUCUGGACUUCCCAGGGGGUUCUCCAUGGACAGUAUUGUGCUGGGGGGUGCACGCCUGUAAUCCCAGCUACUCAAGAGCCUGAGGCAGGAGAAUUGCUUGAACCCGGGAGGUAGAGGCCGCAGUGACAGGGGUGGGAAAGAGGCUGAGAUUCGCAGCUGAACAAACUUGGGCUCAAUGAGCAGCUCCAACUCUUACCGGUCAUAUGACCUUGAGCAAGUACAAAUCUCAAUUAGUAAAUAGGAAAGCAUCUUCUGCUGAUGAAGCAUUCAUUCUGUUCUAAGGACUUGCCAUCUCCUAACUCACUUAAUCUUCACAGUAACCACAACAGGUUGGUUUGACUCUCAUUCGCAGUUAAAGACGAGGAGACGGAGACCUAGAGGAAGUCAUUUGUACAAGGCCAUAUGGCUUGCUCCUGAUAGAUCUGGAAUUUGGACUCAGGCAGCCUGGUUCUGGAGCUGAAUUCUGAACUACCUAUAUCAUCCCACCUCAGUCCAGUGAGAGAACGUGUCACCUGAGUGCUCAAGAUACAUCAAGAGCCCGACCAUGUCCUGGAGCCUCUUAAGAGCGAAGCUCAGGGUGCAGGACCUGAGAGGGUGUUAAUCAGCCGCUUCCAUUUUUUUCUUAAUAUGGGAAGACCAGAUUUUGCUUGGCUUCUGGAAACCGCUGCCAUCUUGCUUUUCCUCCUACUUCAGCUCUUGGUCUCCUGUGCAGCUGGCUUUUCCUUCUUCCUGACUUUUCAAGCCCAUCCUUGGACCUCUUAUCUUCUCCAUCAAAAUUCUCUCCCUGGAUGAUUUCACUGAGGCCGAUGGCUUAAAUCCCUUAGAAAUACUGAUAGCUCCAAAUCCCUAUCUUUAGCCUGGCCUCCUGCCCUAGAAUUCACUUGUCUAAGUGCCUAGUGGAUUUCUCCACUUAGAUGUCUCAUAAGCAUUUCAAACCUGCCCAAAACGAAACUUGAUUACCAUCCCCAAACCACUCUUCCCUAAGAAAAUGGUGUCCCCGUUCCACCAGUUGCUCAGGCAAAAACCCUAGCAAUCAGCCUCACUUGCUUUCAUUCUCUCUCAUCUCCCACAUCAAACCCAUUAGCAAAUUCUGUUGGUUCUUUUUUGAAAUGUACUCGGAGGCUACUUCUCACCACAUGCUCUGCUAUGGUUCUAGCCCAAGCCACUGUCAGUCUCUCCCAGAGACACAAGCUGUACCUUCCUAACUCGCACCCCUGUGUGCAUCCCUGUGUGCAUCCCUGCUCACCCAAAGCCAACCCUUUGCAUAUAACCAGAGUGAUUUUUUUGAAAUGUAAAUAAGAACCGGUCACCACCCUAUUCAAAUCCUCCAGGGGCUUCUCAUUUCUCUUAGAACAAAACCCAGACUCCUGACUACAGCCCCAAAGCCCUACAUGAUCCUGCCCCAUUUACAGCUCCAGGCUCAUUACCUACCUCGUGCUCCCAGCCCACGGAUCAUCGCCUACCACAUGCUCCCAGCCCCCGGAUCUCCAGCACAUCAGCCUCUUGGCUCUUCUUAGAACUCCCUGAAUUCACUCCUGUCUCAAGGACUUUCCUGUGCUUUUCCUUAGACAGGAGACACCCCUCCCAGUUCACAUGGCUCACUCGCUUCAUCCAGGUCUCUUCUCCAGUGUCCCCUCCUUGUGACCCCUGGAUCUAAAGGAGUUGAACCACCCCACUCCUACCCUUAUAUUCUCAUAGCUCCUCACGCUGCCUCACUUUUAGCAAGAUUUCAUUAAAAUUUUAUUGCUGUCUAAAAUUCUAUUAUAUAUUUAACCAUUUACUUGUUUAGUAUCUGUGUCUUCCAUUAGCAAGUAAGUUCUGGCCAGGCGUGGUGGCUCACACCUGUAAUCCCAGCACUUUGGGAGGCUGAGGCAGGCAGAUCACCUGAGGUCAGGAGUUUGAGACCAGCCUGGUCAACGUGGUGAAACCCUGUCUCUACUAAAAAUACAAAAAUUUGCCGGGUGUGGUGGCAUGCACCUGUAAUCUCAGCUACUCGGGAGGCUGAGGCAGGAGAAUCGCUUGAACCUGGGAGGUGGAGGCUGCAGUGAGCCAAAAGAAAGAAAGAAAGUAAGUUCCAUGAAGGCAGAAAUUUUCUGCUUUAUUCAUUGCUGAAUACUCAACAUCUAGAAUUGUAGACCCUCCAUAGACACUUAUUGGCUGAAUGACUGAAAGAAUGAAUGAGUGGUUAGAAACAGUACCCAUGUGGAAGAAUAUAUAGCCACCUCUUACACACAGUUUCAUUAAUUCUCAGAAGUUUUCUAUGGCAAUUAGGGAGCAGAUUAUUUCGCCCGUUUAUUGAAACCCAGAACUAACGAUUGAUGUUUAAAGACUAAUCCGUCUGGAGUAAGUAGCUGCUGAAUGUUGGCCGUUCAAAUGAAGUAAGUUAAGUAUUAUGUGUCUCUAAUGUAUUUUAAACUUGUUUUAUGUCAAUUAUAUUAUCACAACUUUGGAAGAAACUUUAUUAGGACAAACUUUAAUAUUUUUUUCUAGAAAGUAUUUUUUUUAAACUAACACAAAUGCAAAGUCACUGUAAAGUUCAAGAAGUAAACGAUAUCUUCUUUUAGUUACAGCUGAAAGGAAAGCACAUCACUAAUAAUACCAAACUUGGUUUGGCAAUUUUUAGAAACCCCAUUUAGGCCAGGCGCAGUGG
rnacentral:lncRNA from 1 species